UACAGGGGGUGCAAACGUUGCUCGGAAUCAUUGGGCGUAAAGCGCACGUAGGCGGUUCGUUAUGUCGGAUGUGAAAGCCCUUGGCUUAACCGAGGAAGUGCAUCCGAAACUGGCGAGCUAGAGUACGAAAGAGGAUCGCGGAAUUCCCGGUGUAGAGGUGAAAUUCGUAGAUAUCGGGAGGAACACCGGUGGCGAAGGCGGCGAUCUGGGUCGAUACUAACGCUGAGGUGCGAAAGCGUGGGGAGCAAACAGG
rnacentral:rRNA from 1 species